AGUGUUCUCCGGCAGGUUUCGAUCCUGUUGGUCGGGGGUUCGAGCCGAGCGAAGCGAGACAACGGAGCUUGCGACGGCCCGCAGGGUGAGCGUAGCGAAUAAUUCCCUCCA
rnacentral:sRNA from 1 species